CGUUCCUCCCUGUGGUAAUGGCGGGCAGGCUGGCGGGAGAGAGAGAAAAGGGGAUUCCUUCACAAACUCACACCAGGAAGCCAAUUCCUGUGCACUUCCGGAUGGCAAAAUGGGCUGCUGCAGGAACCUUGGAGAGGUGGAUGGAAUGGCAGAGGUCUCUUUAUGCAUCUGAAUCCUGAAGAGACAUCGAUUACUGUUUCCAGCUGGUACCACUGGAUUAGAAGUGCUGGCAAAUAGCACCAUCAGGAAGGAUAGAUGGAUAAAUACCCAAGAAAAUAAAAGGAAACACUGAAGAGUUGCUCUCGGGUAUGUGCCUUGGAGAACUAAUGCAUCAGCCACCACCAGUGAUAGAGCACUGCCAGGAAUUUGGUCCAGCAAAGAUCCCAACAGGAAACAGGGGUGUGAAUCAAAGGGAACUUCCACACAUAGCAGCAGUAAUUCAUGUUGUAUAUUGGCUUUCAUUCAGAGGGAUUCUGAGUAUCUUGUGUAUCUCUUACACGCGCAUCUGCAAAUCUGUGAGUAAACAGUCAAACUGGUGAGUAUGUACUUGUCAGCCUAGCUAAAUAUUAAAGCUUGGUAAAUGCUUACUCAAAAAUAACUUAAGAUUAUUCAUUUACUUUUGAAGAGAGCAAAAUUUCCAUAGGAUAUUUGCAAUUUACUGAUUAAAAAAAUGAGAAAUUCCUUUGAAAUAAGGGGUAUAUGCAAAAAAUAUCUUUUAUACUGAUCUGAAAAUUUUUCGUUGCCUAUUUCCAUUUUCUUUUUUAUCUGAAAAGUUGAUACAGUGAAUUAUCUUCAAGUGAAAAUGAGAUAAAAAUCAUCACUACUCAAUAAAACUCAUCUAGCAGGAGUUUAAUGAUUUUUAUUCCAUUAUAGCUACUCUGAACUUUCAUGAAGUGAGGAGCACAUCUACCCACUUCUGUUAUUUUCAUUCUGCUAUUUUUUAGAACAUGAUUAGAGUACUUAGAAUCUUUAAUUUGCAUAAUUUCAAGAUACCUUUUAUCUUCUGGGAAAUAUAUCUCUUCAGAACUCUUGUAAUUAAUCCUUAUUUCAUGAAACUUCUAAAAUGGACAAAAGUCACUAACUUGUUUGCCCCUUUCAUGGAGCAAUGUCUUGUUCCCUUGUUUCUAAGGUACUGGUGAUGCAAAAAGCCUGUGCAUUCAGGAAAGAGAAAGAAAAUUCACUUCUGCUACAGAAUGGGAUGUUUUAUCUCACCCUUCAUGUAAAUGAAAGUAUUGUUCCCUUAAUAAACCUCAAGGAAAAAAUAUUUAUUUCUGAACAAAGUUCCAGUAUUAAGAUGUCACGUAUUAUUACUACAGAUCAUGUUAAUUAAAUGAUAAUUUGUUAAAAAUGCAUAUCCCAAGUGACCAAAACGUGCCAUGGGUGUCAAGGAAAGCUGAAGCCAACAGGAGCCAAGGCCAAGCCCAUCAGUGAUGGUGAUAGCUCCUCUGGGAUAACAGAUUUAAGAAGGAGGGAAAACUGCUGACACAGCAGCCAGACAAAGGAUUGAGAAUAUGUGAGAGAAACAGCUCUGAAGAAAACAGAGAAGAAAAAGGGAGAAAAGCUCCUCCAGGUGUUCCAGAUGCCAGAGCAGAAAUUCCCUUGCAGCCCAUGUGGACAAGAUGGCUUAAACUAGAUGACAAAUAAAGUUAGUUUCAAUAUAAGAUUAAAGAGGAAGACACAUCAGAAGACAUUCAAGAUUCUGUUCAUAAUGGUCCUCCCAUAUGUUGGAUGAAUAUCACAUGAAUCUGACAUUGCCCAUCCAGUCAGUUAAAUGAAUAAGAUGUCUGAUGUACAACUUCACCAGUUGCCAUUAAACAAAGUAAGUUUUACUUUGAGCAAAAGCUGAUAUUCACGUUCAACAAUUUACAUUACAUUUUAGUCAUGAAAAUAAUUAAUCCAUUGUGCAAAUGAAUGAAAUUGAUAUUAGAGAUCAGUAACAUUUACCAAAAAAAAAAAAAAAAAAAAUUAAAGUAUUGAAGCACAUUAUGAUGUUCCAAUCCUGCAGUUGGCUUUCAACAUGGUUUUCAGGAAAAACACAAGUGUUGGCCACUGUAGAAAUGCAAGACGAAUGGUGUAGGUGAACACUGCAUUUGCCAGUCCCUAAUCUAAUUGAUUCAAAGUAGGUUUUUCAUUUUUAUUUAUUUUAGUAAAUGAAUUCUUGUUGGCUGAAGGAAAUAAACAAAGUCUUAGCAGGUAAACUCAGCCGAGCAUGUCAGAGUGAUGAUAGUCUCUCUUUGUGAGUGACCACGACACAGACCCAGUCCAGCAGGGAAUCUGAAUCAUUUAUUCAAAGAAACAGACAGGUUUCAUACACUUUUCAAGGCACAGUAUUUCCUUACAUGGUAAUUCUCACUACUGACCUAUCCCAUGUUGCCACAUCAGCAGAAUGCUUUCUAAAUGUCCUUCUCUGGGGUGAUUAUGUGCUGUUCUCUCGUCUGUCAGCUUCCAGCAGGCUCCUCUGCCUUAGGGGUCUGCAGUGGGACACCUCCUUCCCCCAAGUUCAGGUGGAAACAAUCCUCUCUGUGCUGCCAUGUGUUUCUGCAGCACAGCCUGCAGCCCAACUCCAUCCCAUCUCUUCCCACAUCUCUCUGAAAAACCAUUUUUAGCCUUGGGGCUAAAGAUUAGUGUAAGAUUUCCAUUUGAUGUCAGAUGAUUUUCAGUUUUGUAAUCUGAUUUGUAAACCAAUAUAUUAGAAAGUAGUUUCCCAAAAAGUUAAAAUUUGCUGUUUUAUUGCUAGGGCUGUUAUAGUGGAGUACAACAUGUUUAUUCUGCAUUUUGUGUAUUGAAAUAUCAGUACUGAACAUCUAAAUACUGUAGUUUAGAUAAGAAAUAGUAGCUAUUUAUAUUUAUAAGUAAUUUGUUGCGAAAUUAUUCCACAGUGGUUUUGAAAAUGAAGUAUUUCUGCAACUAUAGUUUUCCUUUUAAGCUUUGAAUAUCCAUAGUGAAGGAUAUCAUUAUCCAUCCAGCCAAAUGGCUUGUACCCAGCAAUAGCCAGUAGCAGAUUCUAGGCAAAGCACAUAGUAAAGCAGAGAAGCCCUUCCCCCUUUAGCUUCCAGACACAAGCAGAUUAAUGGCUUUAUUAGCCAGCAGCUACAUCAAACCACUGUAUUUAGUGGCUGGGAAUUGAUAUCUCUUGCAUGAACUUAUCUCAUCUUCUUAUGAAUUCAUUUAUACUUCGGGUCUCUUGUGAAUUUCACUAUUUAAUCACAUUUUGUGUGGAGAAUGUAAUUCCUGCUUAUGACUUUGAAUUGCUG